rnacentral:rRNA from 1 species
GCCAGACUCCUACGGGAGGCAGCAGUGGGGGAUAUUGCACAAUGGGGGAAACCCUGAUGCAGCAACGCCGCGUGAGUGAAGAAGUAUUUCGGUAUGUAAAGCUCUCUCAGCAGGGAAGAGAAUGACGGUACCUGACUAAGAAGCCCCGGCUAACUACGUGCCAGCAGCCGCGGUAAUACGUAGGGGGCGAGCGUUAUCCGAAUUUACUGGGUGUAAAGGGAGCGUAGACGGCUGGUCAAGUCUGAAGUGAAAGCCCGGGGCUUAACCCCGGAACGGCUUUGGAAACUGAGCAGCUAGAGUGCUGGAGAGGUAAGCGGAAUUCCUAGUGUAGCGGUGAAAUGCGUAGAUAUUAGGAGGAACACCAGUGGCGAAGGCGGCUUACUGGACAGUAACUGACGUUGAGGCUCGAAAGCGUGGGGAGCAAACAGGAUUAGAUACCCGCGUAC